AUGCCUAACACAUGCAAGUCGAGGGAAAAGUUUUUUCGGAUUCCUUCACCGGCGCACGGCUGCGUCUCACCUAUAUGAUCUACCUUAUACACAGGGAUAGCCCGACUAAUUUUGGAUUAUUACCUCAUAAUAUUAUUGAUUGUACUCCAUUAAUAAUUAAAGCUGAGGGGGUAUAAGAUGAGUAUGCCUCCUAUUAGCUAUGUGGCAUGGUCACAGUAUACCAAGGCUACGAUAGGUACGGGUCCUGAGAGGAACAUCCCCCACACUGGUACUGAGACACGGACCAUACUCCUACAGGAGGCAGCACUGAUCAAUAUUGAUCAAUGGUCGGAAGACUGAGCCCGCCGUGCCACGUGCUGAAACACCGCCUUAUGGGUUGUAAACUGCUUUUGUAAGGUAAGAAUAUCUCUUAUGUAUACAGAGAUGACCGUACUUUACCAAUAAACAUCCGCUAACUCCCUGCCCGCCGCCCCGGUAAUACCGAGGAUGCCAGCGUUAUCCCGAAUCUUUGGGUUUAAAGGGUCUGUAAGACGGUUAUUAAGUCCAGAUUGAAAGUUUGUUGCUUCACCAUCAAAUUGCCUUUGAUACUGGUAGUCUUGAAUUUUUGUAAAGUUGCUGGAAUGUGUAGUGUAGCGGUGAAAUGCAUAGAUAUUACACAGAACACCGAUUGCGAAGGCAUGUGACUAACAAAGGAUUGACGCUGAGAGACGAAAGCGUGGGGAGCGAACAGGAUUAGAUACCCUGGUAGUCCACGCUGUAAACGAUGGAUACUAGCUGUUUGGAGCGAUCUGAGUGGCUAAGAGUAAUUGAUAAGUAUAGCACGUGGGGAGUACGCACGCUAGUGUGAAUCUCAAAGGAAUUGCCGGGGGGGCGCACCAGCGGUGGAGCAUGUGGUCUAAUUGGAUGAUACGCGAGGAUCCUUACCAAGGUUUAAAUGUUCUAUGCUAUAAUUUAGUGAUAGAUUAGUGUUGGGACGGAGUGCACGGUGUUGCAUGGUUGUCGUCAGCUGGUACCGUGAGGUGUCUAGGUUAAGUGAGUAUCACGAGCGCUAACCUCGUAUUGUUAGUUUUCAUCAAGUCAAGUUGGGGAGUCUAGCAAGGCUGCCGGUGCAGACGGUGAGGAAGGUGGGGAAGCCGUCAAAUCAUCACGGCCAUGGCAUCUUGGGUUACACACGUGCUUCAAUGGUGGUUACAGAGAGCAGGCGGGGGGUGAGCUGGAGAGAAUCUAUUAUGACGGUCGCAGUUAGUAUGGGAGUCGGCAACUUGAAUCCGGGAAGCUGGAUUCUCUAGUAUUCGGAUGUCAGCCAGGAUCCGGUGAAUGCUUUCCCGGGCCUCGUCCGCCCCGCCCGUCAAGCCAUGGAAGCUGGGAGUCCCUGAAGUCGGUUAACGCAAGGAGCUGCCUAGGGUAAAACUAGUGAC
rnacentral:rRNA from 1 species